rnacentral:rRNA from 1 species
ACACUCCUGCGGGAGGCAGCAGUGGGGAAUUUUGGACAAUGGGCGAAAGCCUGAUCCAGCAAUGCCGCGUGUGUGAAGAAGGCCUUCGGGUUGUAAAGCACUUUUGUCCGGAAAGAAAUCCUUGGCUCUAAUACAGUCGGGGGAUGACGGUACCGGAAGAAUAAGCACCGGCUAACUACGUGCCAGCAGCCGCGGUAAUACGUAGGGUGCGAGCGUUAAUCGGAAUUACUGGGCGUAAAGCGUGCGCAGGCGGUUUGCUAAGACCGAUGUGAAAUCCCCGGGCUCAACCUGGGAACUGCAUUGGUGACUGGCAGGCAAGAGUAUGGCAGAGGGGGGUAGAAUUCCACGUGUAGCAGUGAAAUGCGUAGAGAUGUGGAGGAAUACCGAUGGCGAAGGCAGCCCCCUGGGCCAAUACUGACGCUCAUGCACGAAAGCGUGGGGAGCAAACAGGAUUAGAAACCCCGGUAGUCC